rnacentral:tRNA from 1 species
GGCAUGUUGCCAGAGUGGUUAAUGGGUGAGACUUGAAUUUCUGUGAAAUUAAGCCAUCUCAUGACUUCGGUCGCGUAGGUUCAAAUCCUGCACAUGUCG